rnacentral:rRNA from 1 species
AACGUAUCGCUGGCGGCACGCUUAACACAUGCAAGUCGAACGAAGUAGCAAUACUUAGUGGCAGACGGGUGAGUAACAUGUGGGUAUCUGCCCUUUGGCCUGGAAUAACACGAGGAAACUUGUGCUAAUACCGGAUAAGUCUUUACGGAGAAAGCUUUAUGCACCAUUGGAUGAGCCCGCACUUGAUUAGUUUGUUGGUGGGGUAAUGGCCUACCAAGACUGUGAUCAAUAGCUGAUUUGAGAGGAUGAUCAGCCACAUUGGGACUGAGACACGGCCCAAACUCCUACGGGAGGCAGCAGUGGGGAAUCUUGCACAAUGGAGGAAACUCUGAUGCAGCGAUGCCGCGUGAGUGAAGAAGGCCCUUGGGUUGUAAAGCUCUUUCGUCGGGGAAGAAAAUGACUGUACCCGAAUAAGAAGGUCCGGCUAACUUCGUGCCAGCAGCCGCGGUAAUACGAAGGGACCUAGCGUAGUUCGGAAUUACUGGGCUUAAAGAGUUCGUAGGUGGUUGAAAAAGUUAGUGGUGAAAUCCCAGAGCUUAACUCUGGAACUGCCAUUAAAACUUUUCAGCUAGAGUAUGAUAGAGGAAAGCAGAUUUUCUAGUGUAGAGGUGAAAUUCGUAGAUAUUAGAAAGAAUACCAAUUGCGAAGGCAGCUUUCUGGAUCAUUACUGACACUGAGGAACGAAAGCAUGGGUAGCGAAGAGGAUUAGAUACCCUCGUAGUCCAUGCCGUAAACGAUGUGUGUUAGACGUUGGAAAUUUAUUUUCAGUGUCGCAGCGAAAGCGAUAAACACACCGCCUGGGGAGUACGACCGCAAGGUUAAAACUCAAAUGAAUUGACGGGGACCCGCACAAGUAGUGGAGCAUGUGGUUUAAUUCGAAGAUACGCGCAGAACCUUACCAACACUUGACAUGUUCGUCGCGACUCUAAGAGAUUAGAGUUUUCGGUUCGGCCGGACGAAACACAGGUGCUGCAUGGCUGUCGUCAGCUCGUGUCGUGAGAUGUUGGGUUAAGUCCCGCAACGAGCGCAACCCUCACUUUUAGUUGCCAUCAUUAAGUUGGGCACUCUGAAAGAACUGCCAGUGAUAAGCUGGAGGAAGGUGGGGAUGACGUCAAGUCCUCAUGGCCCUUACGUGUUGGGCUACACACGUGCUACAAUGGUAUCUACAACAGGAAGCAAGACUGCGAGGUCAAGCAAAUCCUUAAAAGAUACCUCAGUUCGGAUUGCACUCUGCAACUCGAGUGCAUGAAGCUGGAAUUACUAGUAAUCGUGGAUCAGCGUGCCACGGUGAAUGCGUUCCCGGGUCU